UACGUAGGGUGCGAGCGUUGUCCGGAAUUAUUGGGCGUAAAGAGCUUGUAGGCGGUUUGUCGCGUCUGCUGUGAAAUCUCAAGGCUCAACCUUGAGCUUGCAGUGGGUACGGGCAGACUAGAGUGUGGUAGGGGAGACUGGAAUUCCUGGUGUAGCGGUGAAAUGCGCAGAUAUCAGGAGGAACACCGGUGGCGAAGGCGGGUCUCUGGGCCGAUACUGACGCUAAGGAGCGAAAGCGUGGGGAGCGAACAGG
rnacentral:rRNA from 1 species